ncrna:length=1223
GUCGAUAAGGACACCUAGAGGUGUGGCAGUCCAAUGACGGGAUUGUCGGCAUAGGAGAAAG